CGGCAACAGCUCAAAUUUGAAAUCUGGCGCUCUUGGGCGUCCGAGUUGUAAUUUGCAGAGGAUGCUUUUGGCGACGUGCCUUCCGAGUUCCCUGGAACGGGACGCCAGAGAGGGUGAGAGCCCCGUACGGUUGGUUACCGAGCCGCUGUAAAGCUCCCUCGAC
rnacentral:rRNA from 1 species